AGAGUUUGAUCAUGGCUCAGAACGAACGUUAGCGGCACGCUUAACACAUGCAAGUCGAGCGCAGGGCCUUCGGGUCUUGAGCGGCGCACGGGUGAGUAACACGUAGAUAAUCUGCCCUUGAGUGGUGGAUAACGUUUCGAAAGGAACGCUAAUACAGCAUAAAACCACGGGUCUUCGGGCUUCGUGGCCAAAGCGGGGGACCUUCGGGCCUCGCGCUUAAGGAUGAGUCUGCGGCCCAUCAGCUAGUUGGUAGUGUAAUGGACUACCAAGGCAAAGACGGGUAGCUGGUCUGAGAGGAUGAACAGCCACACUGGAACUGAGACACGGUCCAGACUCCUACGGGAGGCAGCAGUGGGGAAUAUUGGGCAAUGGGCGCAAGCCUGACCCAGCCACGCCGCGUGAGUGAUGAAGGCCUUCGGGUCGUAAAGCUCUGUGGGGAGGGACGAAAAAACGCUGGCCAAUAUCCAGCGGACUGACGGUACCUCCUUAGCAAGCACCGGCUAACUCCGUGCCAGCCGCCGCGGUAAUAC
rnacentral:rRNA from 1 species